rnacentral:rRNA from 1 species
AAGCACUUUGGAAAGAGAGUUAAACAGUACGUGAAAUUGUUGAAAGGGAAACGCUUGAAGUCAGUCGCGUCUUGCGGAACUCAGCCUUACUUCGGUUUGGUGUACUUUCUGUUUGACGGGUCAACAUCAAUUUUGAUCGGUAGAAAAAGCUUGAGGAAAUGUAGCGUUGUUUCGGCGACGUGUUAUAGUCUUCUUGCGUAUAUAUCGGUUGGGAUUGAGGACCGCAGCACGCCUUUAAUGGCCGGGGGUUCGCCCUACGUAUCGUGCUUAGGAUGUUGGCAUAAUGGCUUUAAGCGACCCGUCUUGUAACACGGACCAAGG